AGUCGAGCGAACAGAUAAGGAGCUUGCUCCUUUGACGUUAGCGGCGGACGGGUGAGUAACACGUGGGUAACCUACCUAUAAGACUGGGAUAACUUCGGGAAACCGGAGCUAAUACCGGAUAAUAUUUCGAACCGCAUGGUUCGAUAGUGAAAGAUGGUUUUGCUAUCACUUAUAGAUGGACCCGCGCCGUAUUAGCUAGUUGGUAAGGUAACGGCUUACCAAGGCGACGAUACGUAGCCGACCUGAGAGGGUGAUCGGCCACACUGGAACUGAGACACGGUCCAGACUCCUACGGGAGGCAGCAGUAGGGAAUCUUCCGCAAUGGGCGAAAGCCUGACGGAGCAACGCCGCGUGAGUGAUGAAGGUCUUCGGAUCGUAAAACUCUGUUAUUAGGGAAGAACAUACGUGUAAGUAACUGUGCACGUCUUGACGGUACCUAAUCAGAAAGCCACGGCUAACUACGUGCCAGCAGCCGCGGUAAUACGUAGGUGGCAAGCGUUAUCCGGAAUUAUUGGGCGUAAAGCGCGCGUAGGCGGUUUUUUAAGUCUGAUGUGAAAGCCCACGGCUCAACCGUGGAGGGUCAUUGGAAACUGGAAAACUUGAGUGCAGAAGAGGAAAGUGGAAUUCCAUGUGUAGCGGUGAAAUGCGCAGAGAUAUGGAGGAACACCAGUGGCGAAGGCGACUUUCUGGUCUGUAACUGACGCUGAUGUGCGAAAGCGUGGGGAUCAAACAGGAUUAGAUACCCUGGUAGUCCACGCAGUAAACGAUGAGUGCUAAGUGUUAGGGGGUUUCCGCCCCUUAGUGCUGCAGCUAACGCAUUAAGCACUCCGCCUGGGGAGUACGACCGCAAGGUUGAAACUCAAAGGAAUUGACGGGGACCCGCACAAACGGUGGAGCAUGUGGUUUAAUUCGAAGCAACGCGAAGAACCUUACCAAAUCUUGACAUCCUUUGACAACUCUAGAGAUAGAGCUUUCCCCUUCGGGGGACAAAGUGACAGGUGGUGCAUGGUUGUCGUCAGCUCGUGUCGUGAGAUGUUGGGUUAAGUCCCGCAACGAGCGCAACCCUUAAGCUUAGUUGCCAUCAUUAAGUUGGGCACUCUAAGUUGACUGCCGGUGACAAACCGGAGGAAGGUGGGGAUGACGUCAAAUCACCAUGCCCCUUAUGAUUUGGGCUACACACGUGCUACAAUGGACAAUACAAAGGGCAGCGAAACCGCGAGGUCAAGCAAAUCCCAUAAAGUUGUUCUCAGUUCGGAUUGUAGUCUGCAACUCGACUACAUGAAGCUGGAAUCGCUAGUAAUCGUAGAUCAGCAUGCUACGGUGAAUACGUUCCCGGGUCUUGUACACACCGCCCGUCACACCACGAGAGUUUGUAACACCCGAAGCCGGUGGAGUAACCAUUUGGAGCUAGCCGUCGAAGGUGGGACAAAUGAUUGGGGUGAAGUCGU
rnacentral:rRNA from 1 species